rnacentral:lncRNA from 1 species
GCUUUUUUCGGAGGCUCGGCUCCCCCAUUCGCUGCCGCCCGCCUUUUGACCGUGGAAAUGCCUAUAUAUGGGAUGUGACGGGCGAGGAGCAAGAAUUUGAGACUGUGUCGGCUUUGAACUGUGCAAGCUCUGUUUCAUUCACGCUUGGAUCACAGUUGGGCAUCUUCUCCCACUGUGUACACACAGGCAAAUAAUCUUCAGGACGUGGGGGAAUAACAAGCAAAAAAACAAACACCUUACCACUCUGCUCCAAAUGCACGCUGACUUCUUCACCAGUCCCUUAAAAAAGAACUACCACAACAGCUUGGGACUUCCUCCCUCCCCUGCAUCCUCUCUGAGCAGCAUCCAGUAGUAGGGAGAGAACCUUAGGCUCAAUGAUGGAAGAGAGCACUCACUCUUCACAGUGAACUGCAACUGCUG